GACGUAGGUGGCGAACGUUAUCCGGAAUUAUUGGGCGUAAAGGAUGCGUAGAUGGUGUAGUAAGUUAUCGGUGGCAAAUCGAGGCUCAACCUCGUGGAAGUCGGUAAUACUGCUAUGCUAGAGGAUAGGAGAGGUUAACGGAACUCCCUGUGGAGCGGUGAAAUGCGUAGAUAUAGGGAAGAACACCAAUCAGGCGAAGGCAGUUAACUAUUCUAUUCCUGACAUUGAGGCAUGAAAGCGUGGGGAGCAAAACGGG
rnacentral:rRNA from 1 species